GCGCAGCAGGCGAGAAUACUUUACAAUGUGCGAAAGCACGAUAAGGGAACUCUGAGUGCCUCCUAAGGAGGCUGUUCAGGUGUCUAAAAGCACCUGAAGGAAGGGCUGGGUAAGACCGGUGCCAGCCGCCGCGGUAACACCGGCAGCCCAAGUGGUAGCCACGUUUAUUGGGUCUAAAGCGUCCGUAGCCGGCUGGGUAAGUUCCUUGGGAAAUUUGGCUGCUUAACAGUCAAGCUUUCAGGGAAUACUGCCCGGCUUGGGACCGGGAGAGGUCAGAGGUACUCCAGGGGUAGGGUGAAAUCCAUUAAUCCUUGGGGGACCACCGGUAGCGAAGGCGUCUGACCAGACCGGGUCCGACGGUGAAGGACGAAGGCUAGGGGCGCGAACCGGAUUAGAUACCCCGUAGU
rnacentral:rRNA from 1 species